UACGGAGGGUGCAAGCGUUAGUCGGAAUUACUGGGCGUAAAGGGUGCGUAGGCGGGAGCGUAAGUCAGAUGUGAAAAACCGUUGCUCAACAACGGCAGUGCAUCUGAAACUGCGUUUCUGGAGGAAUAGCGGAGAAAACGGAAUUCCACGUGUAGCGGUGAGAUGCGUAGAUAUGUGGAAGAACACCUGUGGCGAAAGCGGUUUUCUAGCUUAAACCUGACGCUGAGGCACGAAAGCAAGGGGAGCAAACAGG
rnacentral:rRNA from 1 species